rnacentral:rRNA from 1 species
GAUGAACGCUAGCGGGAGGCUUAAUACAUGCAAGUCGAGGGGUAACGAUGGCUUCGGCCAGGCGACGACCGGCGCACGGGUGAGUAACGCGUACACUACCUACCUUUAACAAAGGGAUAGCCCUGGGAAACUGGGAUUAAUACCUUAUAGUAUUACUUUUUUGAUUUUAGAGUAAUUAAAGCUGAGGCGGUUAGAGAUGGGUGUGCGUUAGAUUAGCUAGUUGGUAAGGUAAUGGCUUACCAAGGCGACGAUCUAUAGGGGGCGUGAGAGCGUGGACCCCCACACGGGUACUGAGACACGGACCCGACUCCUACGGGAGGCAGCAGUAAGGAAUAUUGGACAAUGGGCGCAAGCCUGAUCCAGCCAUCCCGCGUGAAGGAUGACUGCCCUAUGGGUUGUAAACUUCUUUUAUUAGGGAAGAAACCCUUUCAUUUAUGAGAGGCUGACGGUACCUAAAGAAUAAGCACCGGCUAACUCCG